GCAUAAUCAUUUGCCCGUUAAUUGCGGGCUAGUAUGAACGGGUAAACGAAAUAGAACCUGUCUCAAUUAAACUAACAAAAAUUAGCCUCUAGAUGAAGAGAUCUAAAUACAAUUGAAGGACAAGAAGACCCUAUAGAGCUUUACUUUAUUAAGCUAUUAAAAUAACUUAUACAGUUCGGUUGGGGCGACCUAGGAAACACAUAUCAUCCUAUAACACGAAGAUUUACAUAUCUUUAUAUAUGACCCUAUAAUAGAUCAAAGGAAUAAGCUACCUUAGGGAUAACAGGCUAAUCCUCCCACAGAGACCUUAUCAACAGGAGGGAUUGGCACCUC
rnacentral:rRNA from 2 species